AUGAUAAGCUGCAUAGGUGUCUUCUGUAUGACCCAUGAACAGCAAUGGAAAUCAAAGGAACAGCAAAUGAAACUGCAAAUUGCUAAACUAGAGAUGGCUAUCAAAUCUGAUUUAGCAGACAAAAAUGCUAUCCUUGACAAGAUCAAAGUAGAAAGAGGUAUUUUUCUGAAAGAAAAUCUAAUAUUUUCUCAAGAUGUGAGGUCAUACCUAUGUUGAAGUUCAGGAAUAUUGCCCAGAAAAGUGUAGUUUCUAUUGCUGGUGAUUUCAAAGCUGCCUUUUAAGUGAACAUCUUUACAAUAUCCUAAGGUUAUGAUUAGCUAUUAGAUACAAAAAUUGACCAAAUACAGAUUAUAUGUUGAAUGAGGCUCAUAUUUUUUCAGCUGUAUUUAUUUUUCUUCUGUUGGGUUAAUACUUACUCUUUAUUCAGUGUUUCUUCUCUCCUCUCACUGAAAGCUCUUAAAGAAAAGAGGUCCAUCUGACUGUCUCCCUCAAAUUACAAGCCACUGUUCUAUUUACUGUACAAAGUUACAUAAAGCCUAUACAGACCCUUGGUCAUAUUUAAUUGUCUUUCAGUUUCCUUCAUUCAGAGAUGUUUAAUAUUUUCAAUAUACACUGAUUUUUAUUUACAGCUUGGUAUAGUCUACUGAAGAGAUUAUUUCAUAUGUGGUUUCCCCAUGCUGUAGGACAACUUCUCAGUGAAUAUUUAAGACUUUGCAAUCUCUUUCUGUAUCUCAACACUGUGUUAUAUACUGUGGCAAUAUAUAAAGUUUACAGAAGAAGAGCACAGGCCAGAAGUAACCUAAAUAUUUUUAGACUUGAUUCUUCCACUAUGUAAUUUUAAAAAAGUGUAUUUCGGUGAACAAUCCAAUGGAAUGAAGUGGACCUACUUGCUUUGAAUAAUUCUUCUUAUGAGUAUGGCUUCAGUUCAUCAUGUGCUUACUGUUAAGAUUCUGAGUAGCUUUAUUGACAUCUAAUACUAAAUUGAAUAUUUAAACAUUUUGUUUUACCACAGCAAGUGUUUGCAAAAUUGGCCUUAAGUGAUACUAAGAUAAAUAAAUAUACCUUAAGAUAGAUUAAUAUGAAAUUA
rnacentral:lncRNA from 1 species